rnacentral:rRNA from 1 species
GGCUCAGAUUGAACCGCUGGCGGCAUGCCUUACACAUGCAAGUCGAACGGCAGCGCGGGGCAACCUGGCGGCGAGUGGCGAACGGGUGAGUAACAUAUCGGAACAUACCCUAGAGUGGGGAUAACGUAGCGAAAGUUACGCUAAUACCGCAUACGAUCUAAGGAUGAAAGCGGGGGAUCGCAAGACCUCGCGCGAUUGGAGCGGCCGAUAUCAGAUUAGGUAGUUGGUGGGGUAAAGGCUCACCAAGCCAACGAUCUGUAGCUGGUCUGAGAGGACGACCAGCCACACUGGAACUGAGACACGGUCCAGACUCCUACGGGAGGCAGCAGUGGGGAAUUUUGGACAAUGGACGCAAGUCUGAUCCAGCCAUUCCGCGUGCAGGAUGAAGGCCCUCGGGUUGUAAACUGCUUUGUACGGAACGAAAAGGUUUCUCUUAAUACGAGGAGCUCAUGACGGUACCGUAAGAAUAAGCACCGGCUAACUACGUG